AGAAUCAACGCUGGCGGCGUGCCUAACACAUGCAAGUCGAACGAGAAAGUGGAGCAAUCCAUGAGUAAAGUGGCGACCGGGUGAGUAACACGUGACUAACCUACCUUCGAGUGGGGGAUAACCUCGGGAAACCGAGGCUAAUACCGCAUAACAUCGCAAGAUCAAAGCAGCAAUGCGCUGGAAGAGGGGGUCGCGGCUGAUUAGCUAGUUGGCGGGUAACGCCCACAAGGCGAAGAUCGGUAGCCGGCCUGAGAGGGCGCACGGCCACACUGGAACUGAAACACGGUCCAGACUCCUACGGGAGGCAGCAGUGGGGAAUUUUGCGCAAUGGGGGAAACCCUGACGCAGCAACGCCGCGUGGAGGAUGAAGCCCCUUGGGGCGUAAACUCCUUUCGACCAAGACGAUAAUGACGGUACUGGUGGAAGAAGCACCGGCUAACUCUGUGCCAGCAGCCGC
rnacentral:rRNA from 1 species